rnacentral:rRNA from 1 species
CUAGCCGUAAACGAUGGAUACUAGGCGUUGAGAGGAUCGACCCUCGCAGUGCCGUAGCUAACGCGUUAAGUAUCCCGCCUGGGGAGUACGCGCGCAAGCGUGAAACUCAAAGGAAUUGACGGGGGCCCGCACAAGCGGUGGAGUAUGUGGUUUAAUUCGAUGCAACGCGAAGAACCUUACCAGGGCUUGACAUGUCCGGAACCCUGCCCAAAGGUGGGGGUGCCUACGGGAGCCGGAACGACAGGUGGUGC